AGAGGAAAUAGUAGUACAUUGUUUCAUUUUUGCUUAAGAGAGAGAGAGAGAGAGAAGAAGAAGACUCAUCAGAAAAGAGAGAAACAAGAUGCCGAAAUUGUUCGAUGCAUGGCCUGUUUACUUCAGGAGAGAAUGGAAGCGUAACUGGCCGUUCUUGGUUGGAUUUUCCGUUACUGGUACCAUCAUCACUAAGCUGUCUCUUGGACUCACUGAGGAGGAUGCGAAGAAGUCUGCGUUCGCACAGAGGCAUAAAUGAUGAAUCCUCAAUUUUGGUGGCUUAGUGACUGGAUCAAAAAAAAUUCCUUUCAUGAGUGGGGUAGUGUUACCACAUUUCAUUGUGGGUGUGAUUAAGUUACAAUCCAGAUAAUUUCUAAAAUUCUCAGAUGUUGAAUUUACUGUCUGCUUUUGUUGAGUUGAAUAAGAAUCAGACUGGGAUAUAAGUUGGAUUGGUGGUAUUUUUGUUCCAAAAUAUGAAUGCAUUCUUCUUUUCUCUUUCCCCUA